rnacentral:rRNA from 1 species
CUGCCGCCGGCGACCGGCGCACGGGUGAGUAACACGUAUGCAACCUGGCCGUGACAGAUGGAUAACCGGGAGAAAUCCCGCCUAAUACAACAUAAUGCCGGGAGGGGACAUCCCCUGCCGGCCAAAGGGGGCGACCCCGGUCACGGAUGGGCAUGCGGCGCAUUAGGUAGUUGGUGGGGCAACGGCCCACCAAGCCGACGAUGCGUGGGGGUUCUGAGAGGAAGGUCCCCCACAUUGGAACUGAGACACGGUCCAAACUCCUACGGAAGGCAGCAG